CCUACGGGUUGCAGCAGUGGGGAAUAUUGCACAAUGGGCGCAAGCCUGAUGCAGCCAUGCCGCGUGUAUGAAGAAGGCCUUCGGGUUGUAAAGUACUUUCAGCGAGGAGGAAGGCAUUAAGGUUAAUAACCUUGGUAAUUGACGUUACUCGCAGAAGAAGCACCGGCUAACUCCGUGCCAGCAGCCGCGGUAAUACGGAGGGUGCAAGCGUUAAUCGGAAUUACUGGGCGUAAAGCGCACGCAGGCGGUUUGUUAAGUCGGAUGUGAAAUCCCCGGGCUCAACCUGGGAACUGCAUUCGAAACUGGCAAGCUUGAGUCUUGUAGAGGGGGGUAGAAUUCCAGGUGUAGCGGUGAAAUGCGUAGAGAUCUGGAGGAAUACCGGUGGCGAAGGCGGCCCCCUGGACAAAGACUGACGCUCAGGUGCGAAAGCGUGGGGAGCAAACAGGAUUAGAUACCCGAGUAGUC
rnacentral:rRNA from 1 species